rnacentral:misc_RNA from 1 species
UAAAAUCUAUUUCCCAAUAGGCUUCA